GAGUAAUAUAAAUCGAAUGAACUCAUACACUUUCUACACAUUCAGUUAAUCUGUAUUGCAACAUAUUAGAGAUGUAGAAAAAUAGGCAAACUUGAAAAUACAAAAUCUAGAUAUUAAGAUAUUCUUGUGGUCCCCCAAAGAAACACUAUCAUGGAGAAAUAUUGCUAGGAAUGAGCUUGGAUGUGCAAUUUAAGAGAAAUAUAGAGGCAUUAAGUCCAUCAUCCCAAUACCAAAAUAGUGUAGAGGCAUUUACCAUGAGCAAUGCAUGGACUCAACUAUUUGAAAAUACAUUCUCUCCUCAGACUCAUUUUAUCCAUGAGUUUAUGAAGAGGGUGAUUAAAAGUUCUUCUAGAAAUAUGAAAGUUGGGCAUGUUAGGAUGUCUGCCACCCCGAUCAGAGUGUAUAUAUAUGCUUUAAUUUUUUUAACCAAUGCAUCAAAUAAGUUACAAUUUGCAAAGUUGCAGAAAAAUGAGGUAUAGAAUGAUGA
rnacentral:lncRNA from 1 species